CGAAUUAGCGAGCGACCCGUUUUACUUACUUACUUACCCGAGUCGGUCUUUGUUAACCCUAGAGAGGCUUUGACAUCACUAGUUUGAGGCAAAGAGUGAGGAUCGUUCAAGCAGGAUUGAAUAAAGGCGUUUGAAAUUCAGGUUGCAGAAAUGAAGGUGAGGUCGUCAGUGAAGAAAAUGUGUGAGUUCUGUAGAACAGUGAAACGUCGUGGCAGAGUGUUUGUUUUGUGCUCAGCAAAUCCCAAGCAUAAACAGCGACAAGGCCUGUCAACCAUCUCUUUCCCGGAAGCCUCACUCACUUCCAGAAUAUCAGAAAUGCAGAUGACAAGAAGCAGUUAUCAAGCUAAGGAUGCUUCGAGCUUUGGCAUUGGAGGUGGCCUGGCUUCUCUACUGGUUGAGAGGAAGUCGCCUGCGAUUUUUGCUGGAUGGAGAGUCAGCCUUACGUCUCUUCUCCAGACACGUGCCAAAUGAUGAUGUUAUCUGCAACGCUAAAUUUUGAUUCUACAAGAAACUUUAUGUGCUUGCUCCAAAUUAUCUUAAUUCAUAAAGAUUGCAAUCAAGCUUCUUGUAUUCAAUAAUGAACUCAACUUUGUAGGAUGGUCCAACUUUUUGUCUUGUUGAGUUUAUACCAAAUCUUUGUUUUGGGACUGUUCACUGACA